GUCGCAUUCGUGUUCAUCCUUAAUAUUGAAAUGUAAGUUGUAUUUUAUGAUAAUACAUAACAUAUAUAAAGGUUGAGGAUGAACACGGAUGCGGCCACUUUCAUUUUUACCAAAAACCAUCUGAAAAGUGACAUUUUUUGGCAUAUUAGGUAGAUUUUUCAUAUUUGAGCUUGAAUCGGAUCGUUUUUAAUGACUAAAUCUGUUAAAAUCUUUCACAUAAACUAAUUAAUUCAAAUAAAAUAGACACUUAAGUGUUUUAAAAGUGGUCAAAAUCUUUCGUCAGAUGAACCUGAAAUUUGAGGCCAAAAUCGUUCCUUACCGGACCUACUCCUUUGAA
rnacentral:lncRNA from 1 species